AACUGCGAGUGAAGCGGGAAAAGCUCAAAUUUAAAAUCUGGCAGUCUUUGGCUGUCCGAGUUGUAAUCUAGAGAAGUAUUAUCCGCGCUGGACCGUGUACAAGUCUCCUGGAAUGGAGCGUCAUAGAGGGUGAGAAUCCCGUCUUUGACACGGACUGCCAGGGCUUUGUGAUGUGCUCUCAAAGAGUCGAGUUGUUUGGGAAUGCAGCUCAAAAUGGGUGGUAAAUUCCAUCUAAAGCUAAAUAUUGGCGAGAGACCGAUAGCGAACAAGUACCGUGAGGGAAAGAUGAAAAGAACUUUGGAAAGAGAGUUAAACAGUACGUGAAAUUGCUGAAAGGGAAACGCUUGAAGUCAGUCAUGUUGGCCAGGGAUCAACCUUGCUUUUCUGCUGGGCUUACUUUCUGGUCAAUGGGUCAGCAUCAAUUUUGGCUGGUGGAAAAAGUUCAAGGGAAUGUGGCAUCUUCGGAUGUGUUAUAGCCUUUGUUCACAUACACUGGUUGGGAUUGAGGAACUCAGCAUGCCGCAAGGCCGGGUUUUUAACCACGUACAUGCUUAGGAUGCUGGCAUAAUGGCUUUAAUCGACCCGUCUUGAAACACGGACCAAGGAGUCUAACAUGCCUGCAAGUGUUUGGGUGAAAAACCCGAGUGCGUAAUGAAAGUGAAAAGUUGAGAUCCCUGUCGUGGGGAGCAUUGACGCCCGGAUCUGACCUUUUGUGACGAUUCUGCGGUAGAGCAUGCAUGUUGGGACCCGAAAGAUGGUGAACUAUGCCUGAAUAGGGUGAAGCCAGAGGAAACUCUGGUGGAGGCUCGUAGCGAUUCUGACGUGCAAAUCGAUCGUCAAAUUUGGGUAUAGGGGCGAAAGAC
rnacentral:rRNA from 1 species